GUGGGGAAUAUUGCACAAUGGGCGCAAGCCUGAUGCAGCCAUGCCGCGUGUGUGAAGAAGGCCUUCGGGUUGUAAAGCACUUUCAGCGGGGAGGAAGGCGAUAAGGUUAAUAACCUUGUCGAUUGACGUUACCCGCAGAAGAAGCACCGGCUAACUCCGUGCCAGCAGCCGCGGUAAUACGGAGGGUGCAAGCGUAAAUCGGAAUUACUGGGCGUAAAGCGCACGCAGGCGGUCUGUCAAGUCGGAUGUGAAAUCCCCGGGCUCAACCUGGGAACUGCAUUCGAAACUGGCAGGCUAGAGUCUUGUAGAGGGGGGUAGAAUUCCAGGUGUAGCGGUGAAAUGCGUAGAGAUCUGGAGGAAUACCGGUGGCGAAGGCGGCCCCCUGGACAAAGACUGACGCUCAGGUGCGAAAGCGUGGGGAGCAAACAGGAUUAGAUACCCCAGUAGUCC
rnacentral:rRNA from 1 species